UAUUUCAGUAGUGUACAAAAUAAUCACGUUUACCGACAUAUGGUUUUUGUAGUUAUUGAUAGUAGUGUACAUGCAUCGGAGAAGCAUGUAUACAGACAUCGACUACGUCCAACAAGUCCUACAGUUAUUGGUAGUACAGGCAUUGGAAUCAGGAUUCUAAUCCUUAUGGUCUUCAGUUUCAGGUUAUUCUAGGCCGGAAGUGAACUCCAGUUAGGUUGUUCUCUGCUUUUGCAAUGGAAAAUGGUAGUAUUAUCUUGAAUAUAUUAUCGGGUAUAUAUCAAUAUAUGUGUCUCUUGAAAUUUAGAACUACAUAUUGAUUUCAAUUUUGUGCGUAGAUCCUAAGCACAGAAUACACACUUGAGCAUGCACACAUAAACAAGUUAAGUCGAGAAGCAUGACAAUAUUUUGUUUGAUAUGACUACCAAAAAGAACUUAAUGAUUUUCCAAAAGUUAUAUAAGAACUUGCACAAGAGCUGUGGGACUUGCUAUGUGAUAAUCUUGACUUAAAAAAGCUUUCUAUAUCUAGCGCACGCAGAUUUAGGCAGGAUCGUCCGGCAAUUCCAAGUUUACCAUGUUAGUGGCCUCUAGCUUCUCAAAAUGGCGAACGGAUCGAUGUUCUGCUUAUGCUCCACUUCGUUGUAUUAACUUAGGUGACCAACUCACCACCAUCUCCACUUUGCUACAAUUUUAUACGAUGCACGUAGGUACGUUCAAGAUCAAAAGGCUCGAAAUUGAUAUCAAGUCGAAGGAUGAGAUCUAUUG
rnacentral:lncRNA from 1 species